rnacentral:rRNA from 1 species
CCCUUAGAUGUUCUGGGCCGCACGCGUGCUACACUGAGUGGAUCAGCGGGUCAGGUUGCGCGAAAGCGUUUCCUAAUCUUUAAAUCCGCUCGUGAUGGGGAUUGACGGUUGCAAUUUUCUGUCAUGAACGAGGAAUACCUUGUAAGCGCGGGUCAUCAUCCCGCGCUGAAUACGUCCCUGCCCAUUGUACACACCGCCCGUCGCUCCUACCGAUUGAGUGGUCCGGUGAGGCUUUGGGAUCUGAGCGGAAAGAGCGUUUCGCUGUUUCUGCUCGGAAAACUCAGUCGAACCUUAUCAUUUAGAGGAAGGAGAAGUCGUAACA